UACGUAGGUGGCAAGCGUUGUCCGGAAUUAUUGGGCGUAAAGCGCGCGCAGGCGGCCUUUUAAGUCUGAUGUGAAAGCCCACGGCUCAACCGUGGAAGGUCAUUGGAAACUGAGAGGCUUGAGUACAGAAGAGGAAAGCGGAAUUCCACGUGUAGCGGUGAAAUGCGUAGAUAUCUGGAGGAACACCGGUGGCGAAGGCGGGUCUCUGGGCAAUUCCUGACGCUGAGGCGCGAAAGCUAGGGGAGCAAACGGG
rnacentral:rRNA from 1 species